AUUGAAUGCUGGCGGCAUGCCUUACACAUGCAAGUCGAACGGUAACGGGCCUUCGGGUGCCGACGAGUGGCGAAUGGGUGAGUAAUGUAUCGGAACGUACCUUUCAGUGGGGGAUAACGUAGCGAAAGUUACGCUAAUACCGCAUAUUCUGUGUGCAGGAAAGCAGGGGAUCGCAAGACCUUGCGCUGAUUGAGCGGCCGAUAUCAGAUUAGCUAGUUGGUGAGGUAAAGGCUCACCAAGGCGACGAUCUGUAGCGGGUCUGAGAGGAUGAUCCGCCACACUGGAAAUGAGACACGGUCCAGACUCCUACGGGAGGCAGCAGUGGGGAAUUUUGGACAAUGGUGGCAACCCUGAUCCAGCCAUGCCGCGUGAGUGAAGAGGGCCUUAGGGUUGUAAAGCUCUUUCGGCCGGGAAGAAAUCGUAUCAGCUAAUACCUGAUGCGGAUGACGGUACCGGCAUAAGAAGCACCGGCUAACUACGUGCCAGCCGCCGCAGUAAGAC
rnacentral:rRNA from 1 species